rnacentral:tRNA from 1 species
GUCCCGCAUAGCUUAAUUACCUAAAGCACCGGUUUUGUAACCCGGAGAUGGAGCUCGCUCCUCAGGACA